AUAUGGAUGGUGAGCAAUGAAGGGCUAUGAACCUCGUCAGGUCCGGAAGGAAGCAGCGAUAAGUGGUACCAUUUAUGUGCAUAUCAUCCAUAUAAA
rnacentral:SRP_RNA from 1 species